GAUUAACGCUGGCGGCGUGCAUAACACAUGCAAGUCGAACGAUGAAACUUAAAUGAUUUCUUCGGAAUGAACUUAAGUGGAUUAGUGGCGGACGGGUGAGUAACGCGUGAGUAACCUGCCUUACACAAGGGGAUAGCCGUUGGAAACGACGAAUAAUACCCUAUGAAACUAUCACUUCGCAUGAAGCGAUAGUCAAAGUGUUAGCGGUGUAAGAUGGACUUGCGUCUGAUUAGCUAGUUGGUGAGAAAAAAGCCCACCAAGGCAACGAUCAGUAGCCGGCUUGAGAGAGUGUACGGCACCAUUGGGACUGAGACACGGCCCAGACUCCUACGGGAGGCAGCAGUGGGGAAUUUUGCACAAUGGGGGAAACCCUGAUGCAGCGACGCCGCGUGAUUUAGAAGGCCUUCGGGUUGUAAAAAUCUUUUGUAUAGGAAGAAAAUGACAGUACUAUACGAAUAAGGUCCGGCUAAUUACGUG
rnacentral:rRNA from 1 species